CCUGCCUUGGAGUGGGGAAUAACAGCUGGAGACAGCUGCUAAUACCGCAUGAUGCAGUUGAGUCGCAUGGCUCUGACUGCCAAAGAUUUAUCGCUCUGAGAUGGACUCGCGUCUGAUUAGCUAGUUGGUGGGGCAACGGCCCACCAAGGCGACGAUCAGUAGCCGGACUGAGAGGUUGGCCGGCCACAUUGGGACUGAGACACGGCCCAGACUCCUACGGGAGGCAGCAG
rnacentral:rRNA from 1 species